UGUCUAUGGAGGCCAUGUCUCAGGGUCCUACACAGCCCUGAGACAUGGCUGAGGCCUGCUAUGAUGUCUAUGGAGGCCAUGUCUCAGGGUCCUACACAGCCCUGAGACAUGGCUGAGGCCUGCUAUGAUGUCUAUGGAGGCCAUGUCUCAGGGUCCUACACAGCCCUGAGACAUGGCUGAGGCCUGCUAUGAUGUCUAUGGAGGCCAUGUCUCAGGGUCCUACACAACCCUGAGACAUGGCUGAGGCCUGCUAUGAUGUCUAUGGAGGCCAUGUCUCAGGGUCCUACACAGCCCUGAGACAUGGCUGAGGCCUGCUAUGAUGUCUAUGGAGGUCAUGUCUCAGGGUCCUACACAGCCCUGAGACAUGGCCGAGGCCUGCUAUGGUGUCUAUGGAGGUCAUGUCUCAGGGCUGGGCCAGACCUACAGUCAAGCACAGGACUGUUUGAUUCGAGAACUGAAGGGCAAAAGUACUCCUUGUUUUCAUCCUCUCAUUCGAAUCUAGGACUGUUUCAGACCUGGGGCACUCGGUGGGAGCAAUUAACUACCAGGUAGAAAGAAAAACCAGAAGUGUUUUGGCACCUCCAGGACUGGAAUAUAGUGAGGA